rnacentral:rRNA from 1 species
UAAGGAAUAUUGGACAAUGCCCGCAAGGGUGAUCCAGCCAUGCCGCGUGCAGGAAGAAGCAUCUAUGGUGUGUAAACUGCUUUUGUACGGGAAGAAACACUCCUACGUGUAGGAGCUUGACGGUACCGUAAGAAUAAGGAUCGGCUAACUCCGUGCCAGCAGCCGCGGUAAUACGGAGGAUCCAAGCGUUAUCCGGAAUCAUUGGGUUUAAAGGGUCCGUAGGCGGUUUAGUAAGUCAGUGGUGAAAGCCCAUCGCUCAACGAUGGAACGGCCAUUGAUACUGCUAGACUUGAAUUAUUAGGAAGUAACUAGAAUAUGUAGUGUAGCGGUGAAAUGCUUAGAUAUUACAUGGAAUACCAAUUGCGAAGGCAGGUUACUACUUGUGGAUUGACGCUGAUGGACGAAAGCGUGGGGAGCGAACA